AGUGAACGCUGGCGGUAGGCCUAACACAUGCAAGUCGAACGGCAGCACAGUAAGAGCUUGCUCUUACGGGUGGCGAGUGGCGGACGGGUGAGGUAUACAUCGGAAUCUACUUUUUCAUGGGGGAUAACGUAGGGAAACUUACGCUAAUACCGCAUACGACCUACGGGUGAAAGCAGGGGAUCUUCGGACCUUGCGCGAAUGAAUGAGCCGAGGUCGGAUUAGCUAGUUGGCGGGGUAACGGCCCACCAAGGCGACGAUCCGUAGCUGGUCUGAGAGGAUGAUCAGCCACAGUGGAACUGAGACACGGUCCAGAGUCCUACGGGAGGCAGCGGUGGGGAAUAUUGGACGAUGGGGGGAAGCCUGAUCCAGCCAUACCGCGUGGGUGAAGAAGGCCUUCGGGUUGUAAAGCCCUUUUGUUGGGAAAGAAAAGCAGCAGGUUAAUACCACGCUGUUCUGACGGUACCCAAAGAAUAAGCACCGGCUAACUUCGUG
rnacentral:rRNA from 1 species